rnacentral:rRNA from 1 species
CCUACGGGAGGCAGCAGUGAGGAAUAUUGGUCAAUGGGAGAGAUCCUGAACCAGCCAAGCCGCGUGAGGGAAGACGGCCCUAUGGGUUGUAAACCUCUUUUGUCGGAGAACAAAACCCGGGACGUGUCCCGGACUGCGUGUAUCCGAAGAAAAAGCAUCGGCUAACUCCGUGCCAGCAGCCGCGGUAAUCCGGAGGAUGCGAGCGUUAUCCGGAUUUAUUGGGUUUAAAGGGUGCGUAGGCGGUCCGUUAAGCAAGCGGUAAAAGUGCGGGGCUCAACCCCGUCGAGCCGUUGAAACUGGCAGACUUGAGUGGGCGAGAGGUACGCGGAAUGCGCGGUGUAGCGGUGAAAUGCAUAGAUAUCGCGCAGAACUCCGAUUGCGAAGGCAGCGUACCGGCGCCAGACUGACGCUGAGGCACGAAAGCGUGGGGAUCGAACAGGAUUAGAUACCCUUGUAGUC